rnacentral:lncRNA from 1 species
GAAUUUUCCAAGACUUGCCUGUCAGAGUUUGAAGAAUAAUUAGUCACUAUCAGGAGCUUCUAAGGUGUUAGAACAGUAACCCACAGAUAUUGACUUUUCAAUGAAAUGAAAUGUUUUCUUGGAGGGCGGUUGUUUCUGCCAGCACAGCCUGUAUAAUAUUUCAGAAGUGCAAGCUGUUUGUGUACCCAGCACCAUCAAGAAUAGCUACAAGGUAUUUGGACAUUCAAUUUGGAAUUGUACCUGAAACCACACGAGCGUGAAAGUAUAAUAAUAUGAAAUGGAGACAGAAAGGAAGAAAGAAGCCAUUGCAAAGCUGGGACAAAGGCAUCAUCAGACAGAAAUUCUGAGGCAAA